rnacentral:rRNA from 1 species
UGAGGAACAUGACCUUCGGCGGGGGAUAGCCGGCCCAACGGCCGGGUAAUACCGCGUACGACCACAUGGGGACAUCCCCGAGUGGUGAAAGCAGCAAUGCGCCGAUGGAGUGCCUCGCGGCCUAUCAGCUAGUUGGUGGGGUAACGGCUCACCAAGGCAACGACGGGUAGCUGGUCUGAGAGGAUGGCCAGCCACAUUGGGACUGAGACACGGCCCAGACUCCUACGGGAGCAG